UUUGAAAGGAAUUUUUGGGCAUACGGCAGUUUUGAGAGGAGCAGGAACGCACGAAAAGGCAGCCACCUUCGGGCGGCUGUACACGGUUCAAGGCAUGAGCGUCUAGGAAUAAAUAUCGAGCGGAUAUUUACGUCGUUAUUACCUAGCGGCUAUUAAAGCAAGGUAUUGAAAUGGGUCAAUAUAACGAUCCGAGCCAGGUAUGCUAGAUGUACAGGAUGACGAUCAAGCUCGGUGAAGAACCGAACACAAUCAAGAAUUCAAGCUUCCGCGUAAUAAUUCAUUGUCAAAUUUUAAACG
rnacentral:lncRNA from 1 species